ensembl:lncRNA
UUGUUCAUCAUUAUCAGACUGAAUCUGUCCUGGGUAGAAGAAGGUAGGAAAGGAAGGACAUUUUCUAAUCGUGUGCUGUAAAGGAUUUCUGAUUUUAGAGAUAUUAUGCAAAUAGAAGAAAGAAGUCCUACUUGUUUGUUUAGUAUGUGCAUUGAAGGACAUUUCCUGGUCAAAAAUGACUCCAAGGUUCCUCACGGUAGUACUGGAGGCCAAGGUAAUGCCUUUCGAAGUAAAAAUAGGGUUAGAUACCAUAUUUCUACGAUCUUUAAGGCCGAGUACAAUAACCUCAGUUUUAUCCAAAUUAAGAAGCAUGAAGUUAGCGGCCAUCCAGGUCUUUAUGUCUUUAAGACAUUCCUGCAGUUUAACUAAUUGGUGUGUGUUAUGAUCAAAUUGGAGUAUAUUAGAUAGAUAUGAUUCAAACCACUGCAGCGCAAUACCUGUAAUACCUACAGCAUGCUGUAAUCACUGUAAUAAAAUAUAAUGAUCAGCACUGAGGUCCACUGUCAGAGGCCAUAAGAAGAUCAUUUGUAACCUUCACUAAAGUUGUUUCUGUGAUGAGCUCUGAAACCUGACUGAAACUCUUCAAAUAAGCCAUUCCUCUGCAGAUGAUCUUUUAGCUGUUUGACAACUACUCUUUCAUAAAGUUUUGGGAUAAAAGGAAGGUUGGCGAUUGGCUGCACCAAAAAUCUUCUAGUGAUUGCUUUGAUUCCUAUCAGAUUUCUGCAUUUAUCUGUAGUUUUCUAUUUUUGGCUGCAAAUACUUGCUAAUUAAUAGUAUAAAUGUGACAAAGUGUGAGAAUAUUUGCAGUUGUUUUAACCCCACAGCCAGUAUGUUUAAAAAGGUGCAAUUUUUCUUUGAAGGCUUUACUUUCAAAGUACUUUAUUUCCGGUUUGGGUCGUACUUUCCAUAGUUUUAUUAAAGCUCCUGAGAAUAGCAAGACAUUGUUUGCAAGUCCAUCACUUGCAUUCCAACUAAGAACACAAGAAUUAGGGAAUGUCCGUUUUUUUGUUUUUUUUGUUUUUUUUUCCCCCCUCACAACCUGUGGUUACCAGAUGGUCAAAUGCUAGUUUUAAGACCUGUGUGAAUGGGACUUUAACGACUUGAUCCAUUGUCAUGUGUUUAGUGGAAAUACUGCACUGCAUGUUAAAGGUGACACCUAAAACAAACUGAUGUGUGAUUCACUGUCACUAAAAUAAAGUAUCUAACCUGCUUCUGUGGAUCUCCUUUUGCAGGCUGUGGUUCACACCAUUGAGCUUCAGGACACCAACGACAGGAACCUGCCAUACACAGAGUGUGUGAUCGUCAACAGUGGCAGGAUCCCUGUUAAAGAGCCCUUCGUAGUGGAGGUGGAGGGCUGGUAAAUGCCAAUGGUGCAAGACUGUCUGUAGGAGAAAUAUAUUAAUAUUUAUAUAUUAAUCAUUAGUCCCACUGAAAGCGUGCCAAUUAUUAUUAUUAUUUAUUUAUUUUUUAUAUUCCUUUCGUAUGUUAACAUGCUCUUUCUGGGGUGCUAGCAUGUUGGAUUGGGUACUUUUUAACACACUUAUAACUAAAAAAGUCUGAAAAUUUCACCAAGCAAGCUCAUACGAUGCUAACUGGGAACAUAUUAACUCACAAGCUAAUGUUUACAUGCUAACAUACACCAGUGGCUAAUGUUAACUAAGAGGUACUAUACAUAUUAAGUAUUGUAAUUCUUAACAUGUAUAGUAAUAAUGAGCUUGCUAAUGCUACCUUGCUAGCAUUUAGCAAUUGUGGGUCAAGUAGUUAAAGUAGAUCGUGACUUCUGAUUGAUUUCCAUUGUAUGCAGAUGUAAUAAAAAUUGGAAAUUUCUAUUAAGUUAUUAACAGAAAUCGUUACAGUAGCUAAAUAACAGGUGUUAACUUUCUGAGAAAACAGGAAAACCCUUCAAAAUAAGGUGUUAAACCUGGAUGCCAAUGUACAGGUUCAAAUAUUAGUAUUAGCAUUGUAUUAGUAUUAAUUAAUUGUUAUUAAUAUUCAUAUUAAUUUGUCAUUCUUAGACCAUCAAAUGGAAGCUUUACAUUUCCGAAAUGACCCAUUUCAAAGUCGUGGCAGGGAAAAGGAAAAACAUAUCAAAACCUCAAAACACAAAGUCUUUAACAGAGGAGUCGUGGCAGUGUGUGAGUCGAUGUGUUCAGUAUUUAUCAGGUUCACUGUGGUAAAUGCUAAUGGUUUUACACAUUAGUAUACUUCAAUACUUUACGUGGAUGAUGCUAGUUAGUAUCAUCUAGUAUUAGUAACAAAUAAUGAAGACACUGUAUAAUCUGCCAUCAGAAACACUUAUGUAGCAUUUGUUGCCAAAUCAUUCUUUCUUUGCCAAAUGCAUUUCCUAUGCAUCUAUUUGAUAAAUAUCAGAAUUUUAAAAUCCGUUAACAUGCAUAUGCAAAAAAUAUGUAGCACAUGUCAAGUGCCAAAUGUUUUUGUUUUUUUUAACAUUGCAUCACUGUAAACAUAGAAUUUGCAUUGUGCUUGGGAAUACAUUAUGCACCAUAUCAUGUUUGCAGAAACUACAGCACAAACUGCACAGGAUGAAAUGGUUCAAAAAUUGUGAAAAUGAGUUCUGUACGGACGCUUUUCAGUGACGUUGGUGAACUGUCACAGUUCUUUUGUAAUGACCCCAAAACUGUCAUGGUAACAUACUGUAGAACAUAUUCUUGUGCCACUGCAGCUAAUACAACAUUUAAACCUCUUCAAGAAACAUUUUUUUUUCUUUAUUUCAGCAACAAUAAAGGAAAGUGCCAAUGAGUAUGUUUUCUACAAUAAAAAUGUUAUUGCAAAACAA